AAAAGUUUAACUACUUUACACUCUCGUGAACUUGUUUUUAUAACCUAAAAAAUGGUGGUGAUCGCGGUUUCAUAGUGUGUAACAGCACUAUGUAUCCACAUUCAUUCGCUCAUUUUUUAUUAUUACACUAUUUACCCUUUGUAUUAACUUGAAUCUAUUUGGCUAUGCGGGAAACUGCAUAACUAAAAAAUAUAAAAAAUUUUCGUG
rnacentral:misc_RNA from 1 species